rnacentral:rRNA from 1 species
UACGUAGGGUGCGAGCGUUAAUCGGAAUUACUGGGCGUAAAGGGUGCGCAGGCGGUUCUGUAAGACCGGUGUGAAAUCCCCGGGCUCAACCUGGGAAUUGCGCUUGUGACUGGCGGGCUCGAGUACGGUAGAGGGGGGUGGAAUUCCUGGUGUAGCAGUGAAAUGCGUAGAGAUCAGGAGGAACACCGAUGGCGAAGGCAGCCCCCUGGGCCUGUACUGACGCUCAUGCACGAAAGCGUGGGGAGCAAACAGG